UACGUAGGGUGCAAGCGUUGUCCGGAAUUAUUGGGCGUAAAGAGCUCGUAGGCGGUCUGUCACGUCUGCUGUGAAAACUCGGGGCUUAACCCCGGGCCUGCAGUGGGUACGGGCAGACUGGAGUACUGCAGGGGAGACUGGAAUUCCUGGUGUAGCGGUGGAAUGCGCAGAUAUCAGGAGGAACACCGGUGGCGAAGGCGGUUCUCUGGGCAUUACCUGACGCUGAGGAGCGAAAGUGUGGGGGAGCGAACAGG
rnacentral:rRNA from 1 species